UUCUUUUCUUUUUUUUUUUUUUUUUUUUUUUGGUUCUUUCGAGACAGGGUUUCUCUGUAUAGCCCUGGCUGCCCUGGAACUCACUUUGUAGACCAGGCUGGCCUCGAACUCAGAAAUCCGCCUGCCUCUGCCUCCUGAGUGCUGGGAUUAAAGGCGUGCGCCACCACGCCUGGCUGAGAGUGGCCCUUGUUAAAUGACCGUGCACUACAGUGAUGGAACACAAGAGCUAUUCUCCCACUUCCUAGUCAGACUCAGAAGUUUUGUGGAGCCAAGGGGGUCAGUUCAUCCACUCAGGUGUAAGGCAGAAGGCAAGAGGAACAGACUGGCCGCAUGAUGGAGAAUUCUGCAUUUUAUGUAACUAACCAAGUUUUUGAGGAGUUGCUGGUGUUUGUUUCAAAAGUCCACUCCUGCCAAGCACAGUGGCACAGGACUUUGGGACCUCCAGCACUUGGGAGGCAGAGACAAGUGGAUGGAUGUCUGUGAGUUCGAGACAAGCCUGGUCUACAGAGUAAGUUCCAAGACAGCCAGGGCUGUGUAGAGAUCCUAUCUUAAUACUCCUUCUCCCCCCAAAACCCACCUUCAGUGACCUACAUCUAGGUCCUACCUCCUAAAGUUGGUCUACAGCCUUCAAAAACAUUACCACCAACAGGUAAGCAGGGGUCCAAAAUGUGAGCUGGAAUCAAACUUUCAAAUUCAAACCAUAUAGAUUUUUAAAAUUAGUUUUAUAGUUAGGCAAGCCAUACGAACUCAGGAAAACAUGGGGUUUGGGAAAGAUGAAAGAUGAAACAGAUGAUACACCUCAGCCCAGUCUCCUGGUCUUGCUAAUUUUACCUACUUGACACAAGCUAGAGUCAUCUGGGGGAGGAGAACCCCAGCUGAGAAAAUGCCCCUGUCAGAUGGCCUGCAGGCUUGUUCACAGGGCAUGAAUGAUUGAUAUGGGAGGCCCCAGCUCACUGUGGGCGGGGUCAUCCCUGAGCAAGUGGUCCUGUGUGGUAUGAGAAAGCAGGCUGAGCAAGCCAUGAGAGCAAGCCAGUUUACAGAGUUCCCUCUCGGCAGUGUCUGCUUCAGCUCCUGCCUCCAGGUUUUUGCCUGACUUCCAUGCAUGAUGGACUACAAAUGUAAGCUGACAUAAACCCUUCCCUCCCCAAGUUGCUCUUGGGUACAGUGUUUAUCAAAGUACUAUACAAAGCAAACUGAGACAUGACCACUGUGAUCUGCAACCCAAGGCAAAGGUGACAGAUGUGGUUUAGAAAUGCUGGCUCAGACUCCCUGGUAGCUAGUUCUUUGGGUGUCUAUGGAAAUGCAAAGCAAAAGAAACAAACUAAGUAUAUAAUCUCUAGGUGGUGGUUUUCUGUAAUUGAUAAAGUGACCAUCUUUGGGACGAAUCUUACUGUUCCGAGGCUGUGUUUGGGCCAGUCUGAGUUACAGCUGCCGAUCUGACAGCGCUACAGUAUCAGCGAACGCAAUAUGUCUGAAUCCAGAUAUCAGAGGAACUUAGGCAGACUUGGAAAAGCAUGGGAAAGAGAAAGUGUGUGGUGUGUGUAUCAAAGAUGCGUUACUCAGUCAUUGGGAAAUAGGCCAGGCAUAGACACUUGUCUUGAAUCCCAGAACUCCCUAGGCCGGUGCAGGAGGGUCAUACAUUUGAGACUAGCCUAGGCUACAUAGUGAGUUACAGACCAGACUUGUCUAGACCUAAAGACUGUCUCAACAACAACCUCUCCUCAAAUGACAUGUGUUGGUGAGAUCAUAAAGUUUUAUGAUUAAAUUUUGGUUAUUUGUGUGUGCCAUAGUGUGUGUGUGUGUGUGUGUGUGUGUGUGUGUAUGUGUGUAUGUGUGUGUGAGUGUGUGUAUGUGUACCAUAGUGUGUGUAUGUGUGUGUGUAUGUAUGUGUGUGUGAGUGUGUGUGUACCAUAGUGUGUGUAUGUGUGUGUGUAUGUAUGUGUGUAUGUGUGUGUGAGUGUGUGUGUGUACCAUAGUGUGUGUAUGUGUGUGUGUGUACCAUAGUGUGUGUAUGUGUGUGAGUGUGUGUGUACCAUAGUGUGUGUAUGUGUGUGUGUGUAUAUGUGUGUGUAUGUGUGUGUGUGUAUGUGUGUGUGUGUGUAUGUGUGUGUGUAUGUGUGUGUGUGUGUAUGUGUGUGUGUAUGUGUGUGUGUAUGUGUGUGUGUGUGUGUGAGUGUGUGUGUGUGUGUGUGUGGUGUAGGUUAGAGGACAGCUCAUGGGAGAUGGAUCUUUCUGUCCAAUCCACCACUUGGGGUCCAAGAACCUACCUCAGUUCCUGAGGCUUGCCGGCAAGUGACAGCAGACACCUUUACACACUGAGCCAGCACUGCAGCCCAUACGCUUUAAAGUCAGGAAUACCAACGGGAAUCCUUGUUGCUCCACCAACUUCAAGGUGCUCUGCAUAAAACAUGUUCAAUAAGUUUGUUUUUGAAGGAAUUUCCCUCUCCCUGGUAUAUUGAUUUGAAGAAACGUUGAAAGUCAGAGGGUAAACAUGGUGAGAAACUUCUCCUUGAAUUGUCUGAGGCUCCAUAAUCGCUUAUUCUAAUAAAGAACCGCAAAGUCCCUCUGACUGGGGUCCAAGGUCAUAUGCACAUGAGUAGCUGAAGUAGUCAAGGGAUGGAGGUGACAUUUCCUUAGCAUAGAAACGUGUGCGAUGUCUCUGAGACUUGCUGCUGAGUCCUAGUGGGCUGGGUUCAGCUCAGAGGGUGUGGGAACAUGACAGGGACUAACAUUCAGCUGGAGUGUGCAAUGUCUGGACAGAUCUGUCUUGAAAUGGCUCUGUCUCCCUUGCAGGGAGUUCUAGGGUUGGACAUCUUGACUGGAGAGGCAUCCCUAGCCUUGGGGAGCCAUCCCUAGCCUUGGGGAGGCAUCUCUAGCCUUGUGUGUAUACAGUGUGGAGUACUUGGUGGGUAAAAGGGACUAGCCCUUUAAUUAGUGCUGGCUGACAAGUGUGCUGGCUUGGACAGAGCCUCUGUGUGGAGGACAGGCUCCAGCUAUGGCACCCUCUGCAAUGGCCACUGGGAUUUUGGAACAGAAACUCUACGUUGUUGAGACAAUGAUACACAGCUUGGGUGUGCAUACAUGAAUAGGAGAGAUGACAUCACAGACAGAAAGGACACUCGAGGGCCAUUAACCACCGAGGACUCAGAGUAAGGGACAGUAACUUGUUGUGGUUGUCAUUAUUAUUAAAUUUGGUGGGGGGGGGGCGGUUAGGCAUGAUGGGGCACGCCUUUAAUCCUAGCACUUAGAAAGAGGCAGAGGCAGGUGAAGACUGUGAGUUCAAGGCCAGCCUGGUCUAUAUAGUGAGUUCCAGCAUGACCAGAGCAUGUCUUAAAAAUAAUCUUGAAAAUAAAAGUUAAUGUUUAGGUAUUUUGCCUGGAUGUGUGUCCAUCCACGUGCAUGCCUGGUGCCUGCAAAGACCAGACAAAGAUGUCGGGAGUUACAGACAAUCACAAUCCACCAUCUGGGUGCCAGGAACCAAGCCCUGGUCCCCUGGAAGAGCAGCAAGUAUUCUUAACUACUGAGGCAUCUCUACAUGUCUGAAAGGAUGAAGCUAAAUGGUACUGAGACCAUUCCUGCUUUUUGGGGGGGGGGUUAAUAUAAGGUCAUAUAUAUCCCAGCUUCCCCUCCAAUUCAUCAUUCUCCUGCCUCCACCUUCCAGGUGUAGGGAUUGUAGGUGAGCACACCGUGACUGGUUUAUAUGACGCUGAGAGUCAAACCCAAGGUUACAUGAGUGCUACCAACUGAGCUGCAUCCCCAGCCGCUACUGCUUACGGAAUCCGACCAAAAGCCAAAUAGAAGUUCUCGGAUUUGAGUGGCGCUGCUCUGUAAGACAGAUGGUCAUGGGCUACGAUCGGCCCAGAUGUAUGGACUCACUGUUAGUGACCAAGUAGGACUCCAGGGAUGUGCCAUUUGUUGUUGACAAUGAUUUUGAAACCAAGCCAUAAACCAGCAACUUCCCUCUUGCUAAAAGCUGUCUAAGCUAUUUGUCAGGUUACAGCCUCAGAGACCUUGGGAAGUGAGUGGCACCAUACAUCUCCAUAGGGGGCAGAACUUGAGAAACAAGAACAAGCUCUCGUGGGCCCACGGUGGAGAGGCGACCUGCCAGCUGCCACACCAUUGGACCGGGGCUCUGUCCAAGCUUCAUCUGUCAUAGCCACUGGGCACAGGCCAGUGUUGCUCCUAGUUGUGUCAAAGAAGGCUCUCUUCUCAGUGAAUGAUGCUUACUGCAGAUUCAUGGCUGGUCAAAAUGCUGAGAGUGACUGUUGAGUGCUCAGUUAUCAACAGGAUAUCCAGAUCAUCCUGCCAAGGUAUCCAGCCGUGUUCAGUUGGAUUUGAGGCCUGCCCCCAUGGGAGGGAAUUCAGACUUGGUACUGAACACACGCCCGAAAGCCCAAGACUGAGGAGCCCAAGGCUCUUAGGGAAGAACUCUGACUAAUGUUUUACUGAAUGGCCAUGUUGUCAAACUGCCUUCCAAAUAUUUGUGUUUAUACCCAUAGAUUUGUGCUCUCUUCACCUUGGCCACGGAAGCUUCAAGGACAGCAGGCAGUGCAGAGACUCAUAACUGCUCCAAGAGCUGAGAACUAAUGGCCUUGGUGCUCAGUCCUAAAUGGGACAUCUGUGUCAGCCCCACCCCCAAGUCAGGGAAAACCUCAAGUGAAGAAACAGAAAGAACGAGGGUCAGAGGCUGUGGGGGGAGUGCUGUAAAGAUGUGACGGCCAUUAUAUGGUUUCCUGAACAAGAUCAAGUCAGCCCAAACCCCAACAUGGAGGAGGGUGGAAGUGUGGGGGACAUGGGGUGCUCUCAAGGCCCUAGCAGAGGAGCUAUUGACAGUUGAUGGCUGCUGAAGAAGGCAGAUUUAAUUUUCUUUGGGGGUGUGGUCCCCAUUGGAUAGCCC